UCGGGUAUGGUGUAACGGCUAACAUUGCCGCCUUUCAUUUAUCUACAAGUACAGAUGUUUGCGCGGCAGCUCGGGGUUCGAUUCCCCGUACCCGAA